rnacentral:rRNA from 1 species
AGAUGGGCAUGCGUUGUAUUAGCUAGUUGGUGAGGUAACGGCUCACCAAGGCGACGAUACAUAGGGGGACUGAGAGGUUAACCCCCCACACUGGCACUGAGACACGGACCAGACUCCUACGGGAGGCAGCAGUGAGGAAUAUUGGUCAAUGGACGCAAGUCUGAACCAGCCAUGCCGCGUGCAGGAUGACGGCUCUAUGAGUUGUAAACUGCUUUUGUACGAGGGUAAACGCAGAUACGUGUAUCUGUCUGAAAGUAUCGUACGAAUAAGGAUCGGCUAACUCCGUGCCAGCAGCCGCGGUAAUACGGAGGAUUCAAGCGUUAUCCGGAUUUAUUGGGUUUAAAGGGUGCGUAGGCGGUUUGAUAAGUUAGAGGUGAAAUUUCGGGGCUCAACCCUGAACGUGCCUCUAAUACUGUUGAGCUAGAGAGUAGUUGCGGUAGGCGGAAUGUAUGGUGUAGCGGUGAAAUGCUUAGAGAUCAUACAGAACACCGAUUGCGAAGGCAGCUUACCAAACUAUAUCUGACGUUGAGGCACGAAAGCGUGGGGAGCAAACAGGAUUAGAUACCCUGGUAGUCCACGCAGUAAACGAUAAUGACUCGUUGUCGGCGAUACACAGUCGGUGACUA